rnacentral:rRNA from 1 species
GAGCCGAAGGGAAACCGAGUCUUAACUGGGCGUUAAGUUGCAGGGUAUAGACCCGAAACCCGGUGAUCUAGCCAUGGGCAGGUUGAAGGUUGGGUAACACUAACUGGAGGACCGAACCGACUAAUGUUGAAAAAUUAGCGGAUGACUUGUGGCUGGGGGUGAAAGGCCAAUCAAACCGGGAGAUAGCUGGUUCUCCCCGAAAGCUAUUUAGGUAGCGCCUCGUGAAUUCAUCUCCGGGGGUAGAGCACUGUUUCGGCAAGGGGGUCAUCCCGACUUACCAACCCGAUGCAAACUGCGAAUACCGGAGAAUGUUAUCACGGGAGACACACGGCGGGUGCUAACGUCCGUCGUGAAGAGGGAAACAACCCAGACCGCCAGCUAAGGUCCCAAAGUCAUGGUUAAGUGGGAAACGAUGUGGGAAGGCCCAGACAGCCAGGAUGUUGGCUUAGAAGCAGCCAUCAUUUAAAGAAAGCGUAAUAGCUCACUGGUCGAGUCGGCCUGCGCGGAAGAUGUAACGGGGCUAAACCAUG